ensembl:lncRNA
CGCCCAGCCUGCUGCUCCCCCGCCUCCCUGUGCAACUGACCACUCUGACAAGGAGGCAGGAUGACAAGUCUCCCCGCUCUGCUGUUGAAUGGUCAGCUGCGUGGGGAGGCAGGGAAGCACCAGCUGGCUGCUUCCCAGAUUGGCAUGGCAAGAACAACGCUGGCUGUGCACGCUGCGUGGUGCAGCAGUAAGUGGACUUGCCAGUUCAAGGGAGAGGGUCCGGUUUUCUCCGGAACCUACAGGGUCAAUAGUCAUAUCCAUAUCCCCAGGGAUAUGAAUACGAAUAUCCCAUGUCUACUGGCAGUACCAAGCACUUCACCUAACUACUGAUUUUAGGAUGCCAAAGGCUGGAGCGACAACAGUACGCGUGUCACCAAACAGCUCUUAGGAAUGUGUUCUUUCCCUUUCAGAUCUCCAUCUUCUAAGCCAGGCACUAAAUGGGCUUGAGUGCUACAGCUGUGUGGAUGAUGAUGGCUCCAUGUCUGGCUGUUCCAGCAAAUCCAUGUCAAAGGUGCAAUGCAUGGGCAUCCACACCAUGUGUUUGGAGGGGAUCGGCCACAACCGUAAAGCUGGGAAGGAUUUGGGUUUAGUGACCUUUAAAGGUUGCGCCUCCCCAGCCAUGUGCCAAAGCAAUUUGCUGGCCUUGGUCCAAGAGCUGGACAACGCGGAGGUCAUGUGCUGCCAAGGAAACCUCUGUAACGACCGCAUCGUUGACGGGGUAGUGACAGAGGCCAGAGUUUCUGCUGACAGUGCCGACAUCAUGGAUGUCCCAGAGUGUGUCAAGCCCACUCCCGCACAGCCUGGCGUUGCCUCAGGGCCUGAUUGCAUCUACACAGAGGAGGAAGAGGAGAGUAAGAUGAUUGUUCCUGCUCCCGCUGGGGUAUCUCCAUCUUCAGGGAGCCCCAUCAGUACGGAGACCCCUCACACUGUUCGUGAGAAGGAAGCGACCGAGGAUUUCGUCACCGAGGGUGCAGCUGUGACAGCUUCUCCUCACCACGAGGUCCACUCAGACGAACACACAAUCAACGAGAAUCUCUCUGGAGGUUCCUCUGAGGACAAUACUGUCUCCCCUACGGGUAGUACAGAUUCUGAGCACCUUGCAGCAGGUGGUUCCUCAGCGACCACAAACCUGGACAAGAGCGGUUCAGGCACCAACGACACCUCGUCUAGCGCAAAUAUUGUUGUCCUGGUACCUGUCGUCGUUUCCAAGAGGAACAAAACAGCCACCGCGACCACUACCUCCGACUCAAGCACGAACAACAAGGUCUUGGAGGCUUCCAACAACAAUAGCGAGUUUGAAGAGGAGGAAUGUGAAGCAGAAGAAGAAGAAGACGUUAGUACCAGAGACCAGUUUUUUGCGGCUGGAGAAAGGAACCAGGAAGGUUCUACCUCUGCCCCAGGAGACACUGAUGUUCCAGCAGGAGGAAGAAACCAAGCUGAGUCGGCAUCUCUCACCGAACGGGAUCACAGCACCGGUGUCUUUAAUGCAGACCCACUCAGGCCUACUCAUUCUCCUGCCGUGGCAGGAAACUCCCAUAGGGUCCACAGCCACAGUACAGAGGGUGAACGGUUUGUCAUGGAGGGAAACCCUGAAAGCCAUAACCCAAGUCCUGAAAACUCUGGGAUAGACAACUCCGCGGCCACGGGUGGAGAGAGCUUGGUCGCUGACCCCAGUGCCUCCCGACCAGGCCACAACACCGGCGGGCUAUCUGUCGAGGGCGGCCAUCUUGCUGUCCCUUUUGUUCCACCCAAGGCUAACGAGUCUUUCGUGGCUGAAAGCAACGCCAGCGGUCCGUCUGGAGCAGGUGUCGCUUCAGGAGCGGGCACUGCCACUGCCCGUCCCAAAAACAAGGUCCCGUGUAAACGGCCACGGUCUCAAGGCCCACGGGGUGGGAAGCUGGUGGCCUCCUCUGGAGCCGAGAAGCAGGUCCAAGACGAAGGGACCACAAACGAUGCCACAAACAUGCUAUUUAGUGAAACCAAAAAUCCAGGACAUGCCGGAGGGAAAGUCAAUCUUGGCAGCGGGGCCUUCGGCCUCUCUGGCAACCUCCAUCUUUUCUCUCUCAGCCUCACAUUAGUCGCCCUUUUACAUUGAAAAUGACAGAAACCGGGAAGUGGUGUAUUGCUUCCUUUGGAAACCUCAAUGUCGUGAUUUCCGCCUCAGCUCUUGAGCCCCACAUCUUUUCAUCAAAGAGAUCUUGAACCUCCGUGGAGCCCUCUGUGUCUGAGACGUUUGUGAAAGGAGAAUCGUGAGGCCAGAGAAAAGGGGGGACAUUGGAGAUUUGUCUGAAAAGCUCUGAUGUACAUGGGUAUGAAUAAAUGAAUAGCAUCUAGCA